AUCCUUUUCCAGUUCAUAAGCGUGAUGAUUGGUGUUCAAUGCUUGUGUGACAUGUGCCUCCCUUAAAUCUUGUUACGCGUUUGGUA
rnacentral:snoRNA from 1 species